rnacentral:rRNA from 1 species
AUUGAACGCUGGCGGCAGGCCUAACACAUGCAAGUCGAACGAGUGGCGGACGGGUGAGUAAGGUCUGGGAAACUGCCCGUUGGAGGGGGAUAACUACUGUAAACUGUAGCUAAUACCGCAUACCAUCGGAUGUGCCCAGAUGGGAUUAGCUAGUAGGUGGGGUAACGGAUCACCUAGGCGAGGAUCCCUAGCUGGGCUGAGAGGAUGACCAGCAACACUGGAACUGGGACACGGUCCAGACGCCUACGGGAGGCAGCAGUGGGGAAUAUUGCACAAUGGGCGCAAGCCUGAUGGAGCCAUGCCGCGUGUAUGAAGAAGGCCUUCGGGUUGUAAAGUACUUUCAGCGAGGAGGCGUUACUCGCAGAAGAAGCACCGGCUAACUCCGUGCCAGCAGCCGCGGUAAUUC